CCAAAACUGCCCAGAGCUGCCUUCCCUGAGAAUUCACUUUACACCAAAAGAAUCUCAUCUCAAUGAUGAGAUGGUGGGAAUGAUUCCUGGUGGGAAUGGGGAAGCAAAUGACAGCAGCUGUGAUAAGGUAAAUUCCAUGGGUUAAUCACCUGUUCUGCAUUCACCUCUGAAAUUAAAAGCCUUUGGAAAGAGACAGGAAAUUCCUAAGGGAACAAGAAGUGAGUCCAGGACUUCUGAGGAUACAUAUUCCUGUGGUGGAAUUCCUCUGUCAGGGUGUGAUUGAGGAGAGGGGGAUGUGACUCUCUGGGAGAUGAGAGUGAUCUGAGCUGGACUCUAAGCAAUGAGUUUCCCCAGUAUCCUUCUGUACCCAACCUGGAACAAGUGUUGGAAGAAGGGAAGAGGUGCACUGAGGGCACUGGUCCACCUUUUCAGCAGGUGGACCAGUGCCUAACUUUGCAUGGGGCUGGUAAGAGCCAAUACUAGAGAGUAAGAGGGAAGUUUUGGGUGCAGGAAGGUGGCAGAGGAAAGGGAAGUAUUUG
rnacentral:lncRNA from 1 species